CGACGUGAGGAACCUGCCUUUCAGAGGGGGGACAACAGUUGGAAACGACUGCUAAUACCGCAUAACACAUAGGUGUCGCAUGGCAUUUAUGUCAAAGAUUUAUCGCUGAAAGAUGGCCUCGCGUCUGAUUAGCUAGUUGGUGAGGUAACGGCUCACCAAGGCGACGAUCAGUAGCCGGACUGAGAGGUUGGCCGGCCACAUUGGGACUGAGAUACGGCCCAAACUCCUACGGGAGGCAGCAG
rnacentral:rRNA from 1 species